UACGGAGGGUGCAAGCGUUAUCCGGAUUCACUGGGUUAAAGGGUGCGUAGGCGGGUCUUUAAGUCAGGGGUGAAAUCCUGGAGCUCAACUCCAGAACUGCCUUUGAUACUGAGGAUCUUGAGUUCGGGAGAGGUGAGUGGAACUGCGAGUGUAGAGGUGAAAUUCGUAGAUAUUCGCAAGAACACCAGUGGCGAAGGCGGCUCACUGGCCCGGUACUGACGCUGAGGUGCGAAAGCGUGGGGAGCAAACAGG
rnacentral:rRNA from 1 species